rnacentral:rRNA from 1 species
CAAUAGCGUAUAUUUAAGUUGUUGCAGUUAAAAAGCUCGUAGUUGGAUUUCGGAUGGGAUUUGCCGGUCCGUCGUUACGAUGUGCACUGGCCAGUCCUAUCUUGUUGUUGGGGACUAGCUCCUUGGAUUCACUUCCUGGGACUAGGAGCUGACGAGGUUACUUUGAGUAAAUUAGAGUGUUCAAAGCAAGCCUACGCUCUGAAUACAUUAGCAUGGAAUAACACGAUAGGACUCUGGCUUAUCUUGUUGGUCUGUGAGACCAGAGUAAUGAUUAAGAGGGACAGUCGGGGACAUUCGUAUUUCAUUGUCAGAGGUGAAAUUCUUGGAUUUAUGAAAGACGAACUUCUGCGAAAGCAUUUGUCAAGGAUGUUUUCAUUAA